rnacentral:rRNA from 1 species
AGUGAACGCUGGCGGUAGGCCUAACACAUGCAAGUCGAACGGCAGCACAGUAAGAGCUUGCUCUUACGGGUGGCGAGUGGCGGACGGGUGAGGAAUACAUCGGAAUCUACUUUUUCGUGGGGGAUAACGUAGGGAAACUUACGCUAAUACCGCAUACGACCUACGGGUGAAAGCAGGGGAUCUUCGGACCUUGUGCGAUUGAAUGAGCCGAUGUCGGAUUAGCUAGUUGGCGGGGUAAAGGCCCACCAAGGCGACGAUCCGUAGCUGGUCUGAGAGGAUGAUCAGCCACACUGGAACUGAGACACGGUCCAGACUCCUACGGGAGGCAGCAGUGGGGAAUAUUGGACAAUGGGCGCAAGCCUGAUCCAGCCAUGCCGCGUGGGUGAAGAAGGCCUUCGGGUUGUAAAGCUCUUUUGUUGGGAAAGAAAAGCAGCAGGUUAAUACCCCGCUGUUCUGACGGUACCCAAAGAAUAAGCACCGGCUAACUUCGUG